GUAGACUUUCAGGAGGUAAAGGAAGCUCACAGAGUGUCAAUGAAGUUGGACCCAAGAAGGAACACACCAAGACACAUUCAAUUUCAUUAUGCAA